UUAUCACGCAUUCAUGGCCAAACUAGACCUAGCCAUGUCAACCACACCUACUGGGAGAUACUUCCAGUUAUGCGAUUAGGUUGGUUGGUAGCUCUGUCCCCAUGCUGAGACAGCCCAGCAGGUUCACCCUGGUAUAAUUCACUCACUCAAUGUUUGUAUGACACCUCGACACAUAGACUACCCCAUCUGUCAGUUUGCGCAGACUGUCUAUCUGCUGUACCGUACCAUUACUUACCCGCUAACAUAUUACACUUGAACACAACUACCGUAUAAAAAAUGUGCAGAUUCCACAAAUGUCAUGACCAUGCUUAUCCUGAAAUGAUUGCAUUGGCCUGUCUCUGCUUUUAUGGCUCAACAAGCAUGUUUGUACA